CUCGUAAUAGGCCAGAAUAUUUAAAUAUAAUUUCAUCUGACAUAUUUUUUAAAUUACUUUUUCACAUUGAUUUACAUUCGGCUUUGUUAUAAAUGUUUCCUAUUCUUAUUGGGGUACAGAAAUUUCCGAAUGCCAUCUGGGAAUCUGCUGUUAAAUAAGGGGCAUGUCAUCGAGUAUCAACCAUAAUUUCGAUAAGCUGACAAGCAGCGCAAAUUACACACUUGGCUCCAGCGAUAAGCGUAAAUCACGCAAAUGACAAGUGGCAAUAACAUUGGAGGGGCAUAAAAUGAAACCUGAACCCAAGCAUAAAAACAAAAAACAAACAAGCAGUGAGAAAAAAACAAAAAUCCGAAUGCUCAACACUUGGCCAACGCACAUAAAUUGCAUUUUAGCCGCUGGCGAGGUAAACAGCCGCAAAUGCCACAAAAUGCGAGGGGUAAAAAUAAGCCAAAACUCAACAAUAAUCGAAAAAUUAUAUCCACACACACACACACACACACUCACAAGCACAAGCUGUGCAUAUAUGUGUCUGUGUGGGGGUAAAUCAAAGAAACAAAUAAAAUGGGCAAAUACAAGCAGAAAAUCCAUAGCACAGACACACACACACACAUACGCUCAGAGGAGGCUUGGGGGUAAAUUGGUAGAACGUUUUGAACAGCUCGAAUUAAGUUAAGCACUUUUAUUUAUUAUUAAAAAAGUUUCAAGCUGCCAGUGUGCAAAAAGCUCUGUGGGUAGAGAAACCAUCUACCAACAAAAUCUGCGCAUAAUGCAAAGAAAAUCCCAAAUUUAUCGUAUCACUUAGAUGGAGUGUCAUAUGGGUGGAUGAAAUGGUACAGACCGCCCUCCUUGCCACCGCCAAAGACGAAAAGGGGUUAAAAUGCGCAUUAUGAACACAUCGCAAGUGCAAGUAUGUCCGUAUGCAUGUGUGUGUGCUAUGUUUGUGCAUUCAUAAUAUAACUGUUGAUUAUUGCGCCAACACGCACUCAGUGUAAGUGAAGCAGCAGCAACGGCAUCAUCCGAGGAACUUCUGACUGAAGCGCACAGCGCGUAUGCUCAAUAUUAUUAGAUAUUGAAAGCAGCCAUCGAUGGCAACGUCGGCAAAGUCGUGUGCCAGAAGCAAUUGAAAGCAGCAGCAAUACCAGCAUAUGAAUUUUUUUCUAGCCCUCUGUCACAGCUUCAACACAAAGCGUGAACAUCUAUAAAAUGAAUAUUGCAAGCGGGCGUGCUUAACACAGCGAAUACCCCGCAAAUAUAAAUGUGCUUUUAGAUCUUAAACAAAAAAAAAUCAAUUUAUAUUUCAGUUUUUGCAUGUUUGUCACACACAUGAGAGUUCACACACAACAUUUUUCAACAGUAGUCCUUAAAGUCUCAGAGAUCAGGAAUAUAUAUAAAUCUGCCCGAAGAUUAGUAUUUAAGCUGUUAUUGUAUAUCGAAAUGAAAUAUGCAUUAAGGCAGCACUUGUUGAAACCAGUUGCCCACUCACCUUUUGAGUACAGGGUAUAAAAGCACAUGGAGGCGUGGCAUAUCGUGCCGUGCAGAAGAGUUGGGCGCUGGCUCUAAGUGGACGCAUCUGAAGCCUUGAUGCUGGCGUCGGCAUCUGCUGCUGUCGCUCUGGCGCUGUACUAAAUCGAUGGCAAUGUGCUAAAUUGUGGCGUAUUAUUUAUUAGUUUAAUGGCUUUAAAUUGCAAUUGCUGGCAGCUGGUCGAUUUUGCCUUGGUGGGGGGCUUCAUAUUGUGCUUUAAGUGCUAAAUAGUGUUGCUAAGGUAAUUGGAAUUCCAAUAAUCAACGCAAGAAGCUCAAGAAAAUCUGAGUAGACUUUAAAAAUAUGUGUAUAUAUGCUUAUAACCAACUAGCGGAUGUUUCCCGGUAUUACACGUAUCAAUAUUUGUGCUUCUACCCACACUAUCUUGGGUAGUCUAAAGUAAUAUCUUACAUAGACAUUUAAAAAUAAUUUUAAAGACUAUCGAAUAAAGAACCAAACGUUGAAACCAAUGGUUUUCGCCCAUCCAUCCAGAAACGUGAACUUUUUCCAGGAACGUAUCAAAUGAAAUUUUGUUGAUUCAAAAGUGAGCAUUUGCACGAGGUUUUACUAAAUUCGACCCGCAAGUGGAAAUAUUGCUGGUCAAAGCUUGUAUAAAAACCACAAAAACUUGCAGUCAUGAGACUGUAUGGUAUGGUUAAGAUUAAGCAUCGGCCUAAAAAGAGAGAGGUCAUCGGUUCAAUUCUAGCAAAAAAUGUCUAGUUUAAAAUUUGUUUGGUUUGUGAUUAUAAGGAACGAAAGGCAAUAAUAAUAAAUAAAAUGAAUAAAAAAAAAAGAAAGUUAACAAAGGCGUUAAAGCGUGUUUCAUAUAUUUUUCUUCACCCUCUUUAUGAAAUUGUUGGACUACAUGAAAUUUGGUCACCAUCCGUCGCGUAGGUUAGAGCUGAAUUGAAAGAAGGCCAUAUCGGCAAAAUAAAUUGUACAGCUGAGUUAAGGUAUUUUGUGUUAGAAGCAGGUGGUGUAGUGUG